GUCCUUCAGCAACCUGGGGCUGUAUUACGGCCGCCAAAAUCAAAUACCUCAAAGGCCAAUAACAUAAUACAAAACCAGGUUCAAAUGGAAAAAUUAUUUAUUUUUCACUAACAAAAAGAACUAAACCUG